GAACUUUCCAGAGAUGGAUUGGUGCCUUCGGGAACUGUGAGACAGGUGCUGCAUGGCUGUCGUCAGCUCGUGUUGUGAAAUGUUGGGUUAAGUCCCGCAACGAGCGCAACCCUUAUCCUUUGUUGCCAGCGGUCCGGCCGGGAACUCAAAGGAGACUGCCAGUGAUAAACUGGAGGAAGGUGGGGAUGACGUCAAGUCAUCAUGGCCCUUACGACCAGGGCUACACACGUGCUACAAUGGCGCAUACAAAGAGAAGCGACCUCGCGAGAGCAAGCGGACCUCAUAAAGUGCGUCGUAGUCCGGAUUGGAGUCUGCAACUCGACUCCAUGAAGUCGGAAUCGCUAGUAAUCGUGGAUCAGAAUGCCACGGUGAAUACGUUCCCGGGCCUUGUACACACCGCCCGUCACACCAUGGGAGUGGGUUGCAAAAGAAGUAGGUAGCUUAACCUUCGGGAGGGCGCUUACCACUUUGUGAUUCAUGACUGGGGUGAAGUCGUAACAAGGUAACCGUAGGGGAACCUGCGGUUGGAUCACCUCCUU
rnacentral:rRNA from 1 species